AACGAACGCUGGCGGCAUGCCUAACACAUGCAAGUCGAACGAGACCUUCGGGUCUAGUUGUUCACGGGUGCGUAUCGCGUUGGAACCUUCCCUUAGGGUCGGAUUAACCCUCCGAAAGGUGUGCUAAUAUCGGAUAAUGUCGUCGGACCAAAGAUUUAUUGCCUUUGGAUGGGCCCGCGUUGGAUUAGCUAGUUGGUAGGGUAAAAGCCUACCAAGGCGACGAUCCAUAGCUGUUCUGAGAGGAUGAUCGGCCACACUGGGACUGAGACACGGCCCAGACUCCUACGGGAGGCAGCAGUGGGGAAUAUUGGACAAUGGGCGAAAGCCUGAUCCAGCAAUGCCGCGUGAGUGAUGAAGGCCUUAGGGUUGUAAAGCUCUUUUACCCGGGAUGAUAAUGACAGUACCGGGAGAAUAAGCUCCGGCUAACUCCGUG
rnacentral:rRNA from 1 species